rnacentral:rRNA from 1 species
CGGGGGGGCAAGCGUUGUUCGGAAUUACUGGGCGUAAAGGGUGCGUAGGCGGCUUUCUAAGUUGGAUGUAGAAAACUCUGGGCUCAACCCAGAGACUGCAUCCAAAACUGGAGAGCUUGGGUUCUGGAGGGGAAAGCGGAAUUCCUGGUGUAGCGGUGAAAUGCGUAGAUAUCAGGAGGAACACCGGUGGCGAAGGCGGCUUUCUGGACAGAUACCGACGCUGAGGCACGAAAGCUAGGGGAGCAAACAGGAUUAGAUACCCUGGUAGUCCUAGCCCUAAACGAUGGAUACUUGCUGUGAGGGGGAUUGAAACCCUUUGUGGCGAAGCUAACGCAUUAAGUAUCCCGCCCUGGGGAGUACGGUCGCAAGGCUGA